AUUGAACGCUGGCGGCAGGCUUAACACAUGCAAGUCGAGCGGGGUGAUGGUGCUUGCACUAUCACUUAGCGGCGGACGGGUGAGUAAUGCUUAGGAAUCUGCCUAUUAUUGGGGGACAACAUCCCGAAAGGGAUGCUAAUACCGCAUACGUCCUACGGGAGAAAGCAGGGGAUCACUUGUGACCUUGCGCUAAUAUAUGAGCAUAAGUCGGAUUAGCUAGUUGGUGGGGUAAAAGCCUACCAAGGCGACGACCUGUAGCGGGUCUGAGAGGAUGAUCCGCCACACUGGGACUGAGACACGGCCCAGACUCCUACGGGAGGCAGCUGUGGGGAAUAUUGGACAAUGGGGGGAACCCUGAUCCAGCCAUGCCGCGUGUGUGAAGAAGGCCUUAUGGUUGUAAAGCACUUUAAGCGAGGAGGAGGCUCUUUUGGUUAAUACCCAAGAUGAGUGGACGUUACUCGCAGAAUAAGCACCGGCUAACUCUGUGCCAGCCGCCGCCGUAA
rnacentral:rRNA from 1 species